rnacentral:rRNA from 1 species
UACGUAGGGGGGCGAGCGUUGUCCGGAUUUAUUGGGCGUAAAGAGCUCGUAGGCGGCUCGGUAAGUCGGAUGUGAAACCUCCAGGCUCAACCUGGAGACGCCAUCUGAUACUGCCGUGGCUUGAGUCCGGUAGAGGAGCAGGGAAUUCCUGGUGUAGCGGUGAAAUGCGCAGAUAGUCAGGAGGAACACCGGUGGCGAAGGCGGGUCUCUGGGCCGAUACUGGACGCUGAGGAGCGAAAGCGUGGGGAGCGAACAGG